ACCGCCUUUGAGAAAUAAUAAAACCGUCCCGGUUUCUCGCAGCCCGAAAGAGGUCAACAAUAUGAAAGAAAAAGUCAAACAACUCGAGGGCCAAAUAAAUCUCAAGGAAAUAGCGUUAGAACGCGCCGAAGCUUCAUUUCUG